AUUGAACACUGGCGGCAGGCCUAACACAUGCAAGUCGAACGAGUGGCGGACGGGUGAAUAAUGUCUGGGAAACUGCCUGAUGGAGGGGGAUAACUACUGGAAACGGUAGCUAAUACCGCAUACCAUCGGAUGUGCCCAGAUGGGAUUAGCUAGUAGGUGGGGUAAAGGCUCACCUAGGCGACGAUCCCUAGCUGGUCUGAGAGGAUGACCGGCCAGACUGGAACUGAGAGACGUUGCAGAGUCCUACGGGAGGCAGCAGUGGGGAAUAUUGCACAAUGGGCGCAAGCCUGAUGCAGCCAGGCCGCGUGUAUGAAGAAGGCCUUCGGGUUGUAAAGUACUUUCAGCGGGGAGGCGUUACCCGCAGAAGAAGCACCGGCUAACUCCGUGCCAGCAGCCGCGGUAAUAC
rnacentral:rRNA from 1 species